rnacentral:rRNA from 1 species
UACGUAGGGUGCAAGCGUUGUCCGGAAUUACUGGGCGUAAAGAGUUCGUAGGCGGUUUGUCGCGUCGUUUGUGAAAACUCACAGCUCAACUGUGAGCCUGCAGGCGAUACGGGCAGACUUGAGUACUGCAGGGGAGACUGGAAUUCCUGGUGUAGCGGUGAAAUGCGCAGAUAUCAGGAGGAACACCGGUGGCGAAGGCGGGUCUCUGGGCCGAUACUGACGCUGAGGAGCGAAAGCGUGGGGAGCGAACAGG